rnacentral:rRNA from 1 species
CCUACGGGCGGCUGCAGUGGGGGAUAUUGCACAAUGGACGGAAGUCUGAUGCAGCGACGCCGCGUGGGGGAUGAAGGCUUUCGGGUUGUAAACCUCUUUUAUUCCUGAACAAGGCUUGGAUUGUUGUCUGGGUUGAGGGUAGGGGGUGAAUAAGCGCCGGCUAACUACGUGCCAGCAGCCGCGGUAAUACGUAGGGCGCGAGCGUUGUCCGGAUUUAUUGGGCGUAAAGAGCUCGUAGGCGGUUUGUUGCGUCUGCUGUGAAAACGCGGGGCUUAACUUCGCGCGUGCAGUGGGUACGGGCAGGCUAGAGUGCGGUAGGGGAGAUUGGAAUUCCUGGUGUAGCGGUGGAAUGCGCAGAUAUCAGGAGGAACACCGAUGGCGAAGGCAGGUCUCUGGGCCGUUACUGACGCUGAGGAGCGAAAGCGUGGGGAGCGAACAGGAUUAGAUACCCCGGUAGUC